rnacentral:rRNA from 1 species
UGGGGAAUAUUGGACAAUGGGCGAAAGCCUGAUCCAGCCAUGCCGCGUGGGUGAAGAAGGCUUUUUGGUUGUAAAGCACUUUAAGCGAGGAGGAGGCUACUUAGAUUAAUACUCUAGGAUAGUGGACGUUACUCGCAGAAUAAGCACCGGCUAACUCUGUGCCAGCAGCCGCGGUAAUACAGAGGGUGCGAGCGUUAAUCGGAUUUACUGGGCGUAAAGCGUGCGUAGGCGGCUUUUUAAGUCGGAUGUGAAAUCCCUGAGCUUAACUUGGGAAUUGCAUUCGAUACUGGGAAGCUAGAGUAUGGGAGAGGAUGGUAGAAUUCCAGGUGUAGCGGUGAAAUGCGUAGAGAUCUGGAGGAAUACCGAUGGCGAAGGCAGCCAUCUGGCCUAAUACUGACGCUGAGGUACGAAAGCAUGGGGAGCAAACAGG